AUUGAACGCUGGCGGCAUGCCUAACACAUGCAAGUCGAACGGUAACAGGCCCUUCGGGUGCUGACGAGUGGCGGAUGGGUGAGUAAUACUUAGGAAUCUACCCUGUAGUGGGGGACGAACCCGGGAAACGUCGGCGUAAUACCGCAUACGCUCUACGGAGGAAAGACGGGGACGGCAAGGCCUCGCGCUAUUGGAUGAGCCUAAGCCCGAUUAGCUAGUUGGUGGGGUAAUAGCCUACCAAGGCAA
rnacentral:rRNA from 1 species